UCCAGAUCAGUUUAUAUUCAAGACUGGUUGCCCACUGAAGCUAAGCAGGGUUGAGCCUGGUUAGUACCUGGAUGGGAGACCUCCUGGGAAAACUAGGUUGCUGUUGGAA
ensembl:rRNA 5S_rRNA 5S ribosomal RNA